rnacentral:lncRNA from 10 species
UAAGAAACUCAGUUGUCCCGGGAUGCUCCAACUCUGAGGGCAUGAAUCCUUGAGCGAUUAAGACAGUGGGAGUGACGGGGCAGAGUCACCACGGAGACACACCACUGUGAAAUGAAUGGCGGGACUGCACUGAACGGCAGAAUGUUUGAGGGCUUGGUCAUACAGCUGGAGGGAAGAGUGAGACCAGGAAGAGCUGAAACGCGGCCUCUCCAUCCCUGUUACAGCAGCACCUUUCUCACUGGGCUGCAGGCACCCUGACCGCAAAGGUGUUCUCACAACCCCGCAGGGUCUUGCUCCUCCCUGUGCCGCCAAGCUUGCCACUCCAUCUGCCUGGCACGCUCAUCCCCGCCAUCCCCAUCACUGGCUUCCCAUUGUCCCCUGGGUCUUGUCCUUGAGGAAGCCUCACAAGUCAUCCUGUCUA